GCAAGUCGAACGCGUCUUGGGGGCAACUCCAAGAUGAGUGGCGAACGGGUGAGUAACACGUGGGUAAUCUCCCCCCGAGUGAGGAAUAAGCCCGCGAAAGCGGGUCUAAUACUGCAUAACACCCCGGGGCAUAAGCUUCCGGGGUCAAAGCCGUAAGGCGCUUGGGGAUGAGCCUGCGUCCUAUUAGCUAGUUGGUAGGGUAACGGCCUACCAAGGUUAUGAUGGGUAGCCGGCCUGAGAGGGUGUUCGGCCACACUGGGACUGAGACACGGCCCAGACUCCUACGGGAGGCAGCAGUGAGGAAUCUUGCGCAAUGGGCGAAAGCCUGACGCAGCGACGCCGCGUGGAGGAAGACGGCCUUCGGGUUGUAAACUCCUGUCAGAGGUGAAGAAUCCCCGCAAGGGG
rnacentral:rRNA from 1 species